rnacentral:rRNA from 1 species
UACGUAGGGGGCUAGCGUUGUCCGGAAUCAUUGGGCGUAAAGCGCGUGUAGGCGGUUCGGUAAGUCUGCUGUGAAAGUCGGGGGCUCAACCCUCGGAUGCCGGUGGAUACUGCCGGGCUAGAGUACGGAAGAGGCGAGUGGAAUUCCUGGUGUAGCGGUGAAAUGCGCAGAUAUCAGGAGGAACACCAAUUGCGAAGGCAGCUCGCUGGGACGGUACUGACGCUGAGACGCGAAAGCGUGGGGAGCGAACAGG